UGGGGAAUCUUGGACAAUGGGCGCAAGCCUGAUCCAGCCAUUCCGCGUGCAGGAUGAAGGCCCUCGGGUUGUAAACUGCCUUUGUACGGAACGAAACGGUCCGAGCUAAUACCUCGGGCUAAUGACGGUACCGUAAGAAUAAGCACCGGCUAACUACGUGCCAGCAGCCGCGGUAAUACGUAGGGUGCAAGCGUUAAUCGGAAUUACUGGGCGUAAAGCGUGCGCAGGCGGUUAUGUAAGACAGGUGUGAAAUCCCCGGGCUUAACCUGGGAACUGCAUUUGUGACUGCAUAGCUAGAGUACGGUAGAGGGGGAUGGAAUUCCGCGUGUAGCAGUGAAAUGCGUAGAUAUGCGGAGGAACACCGAUGGCGAAGGCAAUCCCCUGGACCUGUACUGACGCUCAUGCACGAAAGCGUGGGGAGCAAACAGGAUUAGAUACCCCCGUAGUCCCUGAGCGGGCUGGCAAGGCGCAU
rnacentral:rRNA from 1 species